rnacentral:lncRNA from 1 species
CCGAGUCCCAGGGGUUUCCAAAGACCCCGCACAGCACCUGAGCAGCGGCAAGUGUUACCUAACCACAGCCUAUUUGAGUUUGUCUGAAGUGAUGAUUGUGUUUCUUCAGAAAGCCCGAGAAAGCCGGACACCUUUCUGGGGGUUCCAGCAGCAGAAAGGGCAGCUAGGGGGGAGUCGAGGGCCCAGAGGCGGCCUGGACUUUUGUGUCCUCGGGCCAACACGGAGCCCUUUCCUGUUUUAUGAUGGUCUGAUUUAACAAUAACACCAAGGCCUUCAAACAAGACCCCACCAGCAGGAUAAUUGGAAUGAGGGGGUUUGUUUGGCCAGGAAUCCUGCCCCUUCCCCAUGCUUAGCAUGCCAGCAAGGCUCCCCGUGUUUCGUUCUGGUGCUUCUGGAACGCCAGCCUCAGAGUCGUUCUGUCCAGCCUACGGUUCCCUGGACAGCCCUGAAAACAGCUGGACGCUUGCACAGAAACAAAACCGGUUUCUAGGAAUCCCCAAGCCUCCGCAAUUCUCUUUAAAAAGAGCCUGUUGAGACCCCAACUUGCCUGAGAAUUUUCCCGAUGAUCCUUCCCUCACUCCUGGUAGGCAAUAAAUGUGGAUGAUAAAUGCAGGCAUAAGGAGCUUUCCAGAUGUUUCCCUUGUAGAUGGAUUGCAAUGAAAAAAGAAAGAAAGAAAGAAAGAAAGAAAGAAAGAAAGAAAGAGGUCUUUGCUCUCUGUUGACAAGAACAUUCUAUUUUAAAAUUUCCAUGUACUUUCAAAAUGACAAGGCUCAGGUAUGUGAUACUGACUUCCUUUGCCUUUAUCUAGACUAUAACAGCCUAAAAGAAUCAAGCUGAUGCCUUUAAUACGUCUGUUUGAAAUGACAGUAAUUGUGAAUUUGGAAUUCAGAAAAAGCAUCUCCAUUUAUCUUUUGCUUUUAAAGAAAUGUUUGGUUUUUGUGCUGAUGGGUUAGGUUUGCAGUGAGGUGACACUUCACAGACCCAGGAAGCACUCAGUCCUCUGGGGUUGGCUCUAGAACAUUCUCAGCCCCUGGGAAACAAAAUCUAAAAGCAAAGACAAGCUGCUCGCACCCAGAUCCGUUGUGAGAAAGAAUGGCGAGUUUUGGGGUCUAUCUGGUACUUUGGAAUCUAAGACAAUUUGCAAGGAGUCGCAAGGCGUAACUAAUAGUUACAGUUGCAAAGGCCUCUUCCUUAAUGAACUCGCCCUCCCCAUUUAUGAAAAGAAAUCCAUCACAUAAAAAAGGGAGCAAACCCAGGCUAGCCUGUGUUUCACACCCCGGGCUCAGUGGGAAAACUGCAUUCUGAAUUGACCACAGCAACUAAAAACAUCUAGAGAUUCAGUCCAGGUUGGGAUGGCGAGGAACAAGAGAGGGGGACACGGCACAGAAAUUUAAUUUUAAUAGACGGCCAUUUAGGAAUGCCUCACACGCGACCUCUCUCCAGAAGUAAGAGGAUCCCAGAAGUAAGGAUCCUCAGGCCUUUUAUUUUUAAUUUUUUUAAUGCUUUUUAUUUAUCUUCGAGAGAGAGAGAGAGAGCACGAGCAGGGGAGGGCCAGAGAGAGAGGGAGACCCAGAAUCCGAAGCAGGCUCCAGCCUCUGAGCGGUCAGCACAGAGCCCGACGCGGGGCUCGAACCCACGAACCAUGAGAUCAUGACCUGAGCCGAAGUCCGGACGCUUAACCAACUGAGCCACCCAGGCGCCCCCCUCAGGGCCUUUCCAGCUGCAGAAAACUUUGCUGGCAUUUGCGCACGUUACCCUGAGUAACAUUCAACGUCUUUGCCUCAUGCAUUACUUUUUUUUUUUACAGGAAGUAACAGGUGUAAUCAUUUCCCAACCUGCUUCUAAACAUCCUGUUCUUUAUUAACUGGUACUAUUUAAGGGCGGUUGUUAAAUUUGAAAAUACUAGAACAAAAUAUUUUUUUUUCAAGCUGCCCAAUGAGAAAUGUCUUUGAAAUUAAAAAAAAAAAAAAAAAAAAAAAAAGAUCCAAGUAGAUCCUGGCAUUAACCACUGCUAAUUUUUUCAAUUAUGGUAUAUUAUUGGAUGGCAUUUGAAAAAAACUGAAAACAUUCUACUUGCUUGUUUAUGCUGUUUUGCCAAUUGACAUGCUAACCGCUCCUACAGAAACAAAGAAAUAAUGAAAGAUGAGGGCCAUUCUAACUCUGUUUAAAAAUCGUUCACAAGGCUGAGAACAUAAUAGGUACUCAAUAAAUACAUGUUUUUCGAUGGACGCAAUAAGACGAUAAAAUUGUUGUUCUGCAUAAUAAAGUCUUUCACUAAUAACUUGCCAGGAAACUAGCCUGAAGCUUCUCUCUCUGCACAGCACUAACUUUGAAAGCUUGGCCCCAAAGAACCGUAAGCUCUAACCACCCAAUUUCAGAACAGUGUUUUUGCAAGAAGGAAUUUUUAUUAUAGAGUCCGCCAAAAAAGAAAGAAAGAAAGAAAAUCUUUAAAAAAUUGUUUGAAUUCUAAUUAGUGUUCUCAUUAUGAAAGUACCACAUUGAUUGCAGAAAUGAACAAAGGCAGAGAAGCAAAAAGGAGGGGGGAAAAGACAAACUAGAAUUCCACCACUCAGAGAUAACGAGGGUUAACAUCUGAUGUUUUUGCCCCAGGCUUAUAUGCACUUUUCACUGAAAGGAGCUCAUACUACGAAUUGUAUGUUUUGUAAACGACCUGCUUCAUUCAAUAAAAUAAAUACCUUGAAUCUUUUUCCAAGUCAGCAACCGUUUUUCUACAAUGUCACCUUCAAUGACCAGAUUAUAUUAUACAUAUAUUACCUACCUUUUUCCUCUCAUUGGCCAUUUGGGUUGCUUGUAAUGUUUGCUGUUGUACACAGUGCCUCUGUGGACAACCUUAUAGGUUGUCUACAAAUUGGUAGACAAGAAAAUCUUUUCUCCAAAUUCAAGGGCUUUUUCCUUGAGACAAUUUCUUGGACCAAAGAAAUAGAAGUUUUGGUAAAUAGAAAGUGGUUUGGCAAGCUUUACCUGGAACGCGUUAACUUCCUCCUGUCUUCUUCCCUGUUUACUCUUGCUUCCCUUUUCUGUCUUUUGCAGAUUGUGGAGACACCUCAGGCACACAGGGGCCACCCGGAGAAGUGGAGACAUGCGCAGACCCCGCUGUGAGAGCCUGAGAGGUGAAAUGGGUCCAAGCCUUUGCCAGAUGGAGAGUUCUGCGAGCAUGGAGACCUUUCUAACUAGUGACUUGUUCACCUCCCAGUGCUUCUUCCUAACUGAGGCCAGGACAUUUCUGGAGUCUCUUGUCACGGUCAACAACAUCCCUUGAGAGACCGGGAAGUGGGGGUUUCUGUUCUAAGUCCCGCAGGCAAAGCCAGAGCAGAUGAGCCUGACUAUGGGGGAGGAGCCCGAGAUAGUUCAUGGCUGUGCCCAGAGUGCCAAGAGUUGGCGUGACGGGGGCCAUCUGGACUUCUAGAGUUUGUAUUCGGUGUGAGUCCUGGCAAAGCCAUCCGAAGAGAGCAGGGCUACCAGUGGGCCAUGUGGCACAUUCCUGCUACCUUGCAAAUGACCGCACCCUGUCAGGGCAAGUGAGAGUCUCGGACUGAACCAGAAGAAGUCAGUCGCUUCACAGGAGGGUAAGCAAAUCAACACACUCAAGAAGGUAAGGAAAAAAGGAGGCAGGGUUCAACAUCCAAUCCCAUGGAGACUGAGAGACUUUUGUAAUGUACUAAUAACUGCACAUUCUAGGUUGAAGAGGGUGAUUUCGUGGUCUGCAUAUGAAUAAGAGCCAUUUUUACGAAAAAAAUGCCGAAGGGUGCAUAUUCAGUUGUUAAAAAGGAGUCGGCUUUAUGGCCACAGCAAGGUUCUGGCCAAAUGGUAACCACUCAGUUAUCCUGGGGGAGAAAAGAAACCGGCCCCCAACCUUUGCCUUUCCUAGCAUUUGGGGGAAAAUAAAGGAUUAGGUGAAAAUGAUUUAUUUCCUCUUCUUCUCCAUCGUGGGCAGGAGUUCAAAUAGCAGUUAGAAACCAUUUUUAACAGGAAACCCAGGAAAACAGAAGGGAUUUAUUCAUAGGAGGCUCCCUUUUGCUAGAAAAUGAGUAUUAUUAACAAAAAAUUGAACAGUUCCUCUCUCUCCAUUUCCACCCUCUCCUUACCUCCCUUCAUCUCCCACCCACUACUAUGGUGGAAAAUGACUAUGGCGAAUAAGAUUUAAAACCUGAGCACCAUUGGAUGCCUUUGCAUCCGAUACAUGUUCCUGAGAGUAAAUUACAGCACAUUCAAACGCCACAUCCCCAUGCAAAAUAAUGUCAAUCUCCUUAGACUGCAGAAUUUGCUGGCAAUGGAUGGGGAUAGACGAGGAGGUAAGAGCUGAGGAGGACCCAUCGAUCUGGUCAUAUUAUUACAGUUUAUAAUACGGUCUUCCACGGAGUCUUUGUCUCCUAAAAUCAGUUCCCGCUAGGGAUUCUUUUGCUCUUAACCCUCUUAGCAAAUUGAUGCAAACAGAUUUCCCAUCCAUUUCCAUAGGGCGUUUCAUUCCUGCUGGUGGGAGGCCUUUGCAGGGGUGGUAACCAAGCACAAGGCAGGGGGUCCCUUUGGUUGCUCAACUGUUCCCGACAGAAGCCUGACAUCUUCGUCUUCCUGUUGCUCAAGACGCUCCCCGGUCGUGACCCCUGUUUUCUCUGCUCAGGUCACUCUGUGGAGCUGGGAAGCUUCCCUGAUGGUGGCCACGGGCAAUGGUGGAAUGUGGAGGUGAUGUUAGCACCUUCGUGGCUACAGAUUUUCCUUAGCAGAGCUGUGGAGUGUGACAAUGGUGUUUGUGUGCAAACUGUCAAACGCCAUUAUCACACUAAAUAGCUACUGUUAGGCAAUCCCUCCGCUCGAUAAAUGCCUUGGCAUCCGUUCGGUUUGGGCAAGAAGGUUUAUGUUAUAGCAGUGUGUGUUCCCAGUCCGGAAUCCCGGAGCGAAUUCAGGCCUGUUGGCGCUCAGAGCCAGUACGUCACCCAGACUUUGCCCCUCACACGCUGUUGUUCAGUCCUUUGCUGGGGAUGAACUUUCUUGAUUUCUGGAGCCAGUAAAAAAUAGGGCAGUGCUCCCCAGAGCACCCACCACAAGGGCAGGCGUGCGGUAAUUGUUCAACCCGUGCGUAUUGAGUUGAAUAGUGAGCGAAGUGUGAGAUACGGAAGCAAAAAGUGGGUCAAAUCUAGGAUAAAUAAACCACAGGGUUCUAGGAGCAAAAUUAAGGCGUGCGGGUUCCUCACUCUUCAUCACAGAAAAAGCAAUCUUCUAAUAAACGUUCAUGUGGCUUCACUGACCUUCCCGAAAUUCUAGGACGUGUUCGAUCUCUAUGGAUUUUCACCACGGUCGAGGCUGAUUACCUCAUGUGCAUGCGAGGUCCUUUUUCCUUAUGUUUCAAUGAAUUACCAUCAGGAAAUUACACAUGAACGAGGUGUGAGUUGCCAUAGCGAAUCUGAACAUUCUAAACCCAAGCAGCUUCCGGGAAAAUUGGACCAGCUGGGUAUUCUUGUUUGAAACACAUUUUUUUUUUUCUUCUCUGAGAGGUGUUUAAAGUAAGGAGUGGGUUCUGUGCGGGCCUGAAGCUUCUUUCCCCGAGACUUGGCUAAACGAGCUCGUAUAUGUUUAAUCCAACUGCAAGGUUUGGAACAACCCUCAGAAACAAGGUCAUUCGAUCAUUCAACCAUUCAUUUAUCAAACAAAUAUGUAUUAAGAGGCUACCAUGUGCCCGGCUCUGCCCUAGGCCCUGCGGAUACUUUUAAGUGAAAUGUGUCUGACAUCCUUUCCAGCCAUGAGCCGAACUUUGCCAAACAACUCCAAGCCCCUUGCUGGAGGGCACCACGGGGAGUGCAGUCCAUCCACCAAUGAUACACUGUAACGGCUCCAAGGUCCCGAGAAACUUCCAUCCAAAGAGGAGGUCGGCCUCUCCUUCCACCUUCCUCUUCUUCCCUCCUGGCAUCAUCCACUGUCAGGAGGAGAGCCAGCCUCCCCCACCCCGAAAUAAUUAAUACACUGACAUUCUUUCGUCUGCCCUUCUGGAAAGAUCACUCACUGAGGAAGUGAUGAUAGAGGGCUCUGUGGUAUACAGGUCACCCCCUCGCACACUAUUUCGUCCCAUCCGUGCAACACGGCAAAGAUGACAGGCGUGGGGUUCCUUCCACCGGUGACAAGCUGAGACUGAGAACGGCCCUGGAGUUUUCUAGAAGGGCAACCGCAGGUCAACAUGGGUCUCCUAAAUCCGAAGGUCUGUCCUUUACCUGUGGCCUUCCUCCUUGCCCCCAUUACUCCACAGAACCUCCUGCUUCAUAGCCCAGGCUAGGUAGAAGCUGGUCACCUGUCUGCUCUGUCAAGGGACUCUGAGGGACAGCCUGUCGACUAAGAGAUGACUCAUAUGACGGUGUUUCCUUGGGAGCGUUCAUAAUGCAGAGAAAGUCAAAAGCAGCGAAACACCAUAAUCGUGAAGUGGAAGGGAGGGAACAUCCCAGAGUUAGUGUCGGGGUCCAGAGGGGGGUGGCCUUACUGCCCAGACACGGAGUGACCCGGCCAACUGAUGUGGCACACCCCGACCCAGAGCCUCAGGCUGUGGGCCAUUCCCAGGCUCAGGGACAACGCAGAGAUGGCCUCAGGCACCCCUGUCCCUCAUUCCCACUUGCCCUGAGAUUUUCUUCAGGCAAAAUUAAACAGGAAGCAAACGGAAGGACAUUCUACGUCUUUUCUCCUCGGUUGGCCCACCAAGUGGCUCAUUAUGAUUCCUGCCUGGGUUAGUUCUGCAUCUGAGAUUGGGGACCGUUUCCUAUAGAUCUCUAAGGAACACACAGCAGGCAAACCCACUCCCCAUUUUAUUUUUGAAGUUGAUUUAUUUAUGAUGAGAGAGAGAGUGAGAGAGCUUGAGCGCAUGAGCCGGGGAAGGGCAGACAGAGAGGGAGGGAGAGAGUCCCAAGUGCUGUCAGCUCAGAGCCCAACGUGGGGCUCAACCUCAGGAAAAGUGAGAUCACGACCUGGGCCUGAGUCAGACAGUUAAGCGACUGAGCCCCCGAGGCACCCCCACUCCCCAUUUGAGAGCCCUGUCUCCCUCCACCCCGCUGCUCAAAUCUCUCACUGUGCAUCCUUCUGUGGCUCUGCUCUCUUCCCCCCUACUGCCCGGGACGUGAUUCCUGCAGGGUUCUCCAAUAAAGCAUUCCCGGGGGACACUUCCUGACUCCCAGUAGAGGCUGUACGAGGCAAGGGUCCACUUGGAAAUGCAGGUAAGGUCACACUCGAGCUGAGAGGCGGCAGAGGGCCCAGGUGGCCGCGCUGAGGUGCUUUCUUCCCCGGGACACAGGUCUUACCCUGUGAGCCAUGCCAACGAGCUUCAUCUUAGUCCGACGUGACCCGCGAAUGUGCUGGUUGCCGCUUAGAGCCUGUCCCAUGUCCCAUCCGUCCCCAGAGGAAGUUUUGUGAACUGGCUCUUCGACACGUUUUUUCCCCUGCACUCUUCUUAAAUCUGUAUUUUCCACUUGGUGUGGUUUUUUUUUUUAAUUUUUUUUAAAUGUUUAUUCAUUUUUGAAAGACAGAGAGAGACAGAGCACGAGCAGGGGAGGAGCGGAGAGAGAGGGAGACACAGAAUCCGAAGCAGGCUCCAGGCUCCGAGCCGUCAGCCCGGAGCCCGACGCGGGGCUCGAACUCACGGACCGCGAGAUCAUGACCUGAGCCGGAGUCGGACACUCAACCAACUGAGCCACCCAGGUGCCCCCCACCGUUUUUUUUUUUUUAACUCUUAAUUUUUCCACUUGGUGUGGUUUUUGAAUCAGAAGACACUAGGAUGUUAAGCUGGACACCAGUUUCGGCUUUGUUCCAAUGAGGAAAUUGAAGCCCAGAACGGUUGAGGGACGUGCCCGAGGCCAGUCAACUCGUCUGUGGGCGAGCUGCGCCCAGGCUUUGCCACCUCACGCCUGUGGUGUUUUCUGGUGUUUGUACUGCCUGCCAAGAAUAAGCACAAAGAGAGGUCAAGCAGUACCUGCCGAACGAGGGACUGGAGGCCCUGUAAAGUCCUCUUUCCUUUUAUUCCUCUGAGAACUGUCUCCUUUAGGUUUCCAAGGGACGCUCCCGAGUGUGAUAUUCUAGAAUUUGGUGGAUGGGUCCACCUUCGCCUCCCCCGCUCCCGACAUCAUCUGCCGUUCCCUGGAAAGACGUGGGUUGACUGGUUACUUUGUGUCUGGUAACAUACCGAGCUCUGGGGACACAAAGGAGGCUGCGUCCCUUCUCUGCUCGCAAUCUAGCAGCUGGACAGUGGUCUCAACGAAGACGUUUAAGACCUCAGCAUAUUGGACGCCAUCACAGAACCAGAGAGCAGGUAUUCAAGUGGACAGGGCCUUUGGUUCCCACUGGCCCUGGUUCAGACACACUGAAUCUUUGACAUUAUAAUCCUUUUUGGAAAAUAGUCACUCACGUUUAUUUUGGUGAUACAGUUGCCAACAGGCUAAAGGGCACUUUGUUGCACACCGGGUGGCUGUGCCGUGUGCAUAAAGGUCUUUUACUUUUACUUUGCAACCGGGGAGCAUGGUGAACAGCAUAGGAAGUGCUCACGGGGCCCUCGCAGGGGUUGGGGGAUGGGUUAGAGCACUUUUCAAUUCGGUGUCUGAGGAAUCUGUAUUUCUGGAAGGAGCUGGGUAGGCUGUGAGCCGGUUGUCUUUCACAGUGCGGUCGGCGUUGAUUUUCACACCACCAGGCCAUCAGGGGUAGCAUCCUCCCUUGCUACCCCCUGGCCCAUCACACAAAGCCUCGUCCCAGACCACCGCAGAAUGUCUGCUGUCUCUCAGUUUCCCCUCCCUUGGGACAGGCUGGAGGAAGCUGCCGGGUACAAAUCCACGCACCCAAGGUGUGCCAUUGCUUCUCUUUGACAUCCGGGUUUCCUUCCAAGCUUUCUGAAGGAAAAGGAAAGGUUCCAAAGCCCAUCAGGUUUACAAAAAAAAUUUGGGGCGCCUGGGUGGCUCAGCCGGUUGAGCGUCCGACUUCGGCUCAGGUCAUGAUCUCGCGGUUCGUGAAUU